rnacentral:rRNA from 1 species
UACGGAGGGUGCAAGCGUUAUCCGGAUUCACUGGGUUUAAAGGGUGCGUAGGCGGUCCGAUAAGUCAGUGGUGAAAGCCCGCAGCUCAACCGCGGAAUUGCCAUUGAAACUGCCGGACUUGAAUCCGGUUGAAGUGGGCGGAAUAUAUCAUGUAGCGGUGAAAUGCUUAGAUAUGAUGUAGAACACCGAUUGCGAAGGCAGCUCACUAAACCGACAUUGACGCUGAGGCACGAAAGCGUGGGGAGCGAACAGG